rnacentral:misc_RNA from 1 species
GUAGGUGAACCUGCGGAAGGAUCAUUAACGAAUUGUCAUUAGAAGUUGAUGCUGGCGGGUUUAUCCCGUAUGUGCUCGCUUCUAACAAUUUAUCCAUACACCUGUGCACUGAUUUCAGGGAGGACCGGUCAAACGGGAAUCCUUGAAUUUUUACAUACUCAUAUUUAAAUUUGAACGUGAAUGUGCCGCAAGGCCUUAAUUAAAUAAACAACUUUUAACAACGGAUCUCUUGGCUCUC